rnacentral:tRNA from 1 species
ACGCCGUUAAUAUAGCUUGGUUAGUAUUUUUGGUUGCCAACCAAAUUGCCCGGGUUCAAAUCCCGGACGGCGUA